rnacentral:lncRNA from 1 species
CAACUUUUAUUUAUUUCCUUUUGUAGUUGUUACUUUAUCAUAUGGUACAAAAAUCAUUUAAAACAAUCAAUUUGUGUUGGCCCCAGUCUGCAGAUGACUUUCAAAAUGUAUACAUCAUUGAAAAAGUUCCAAAUUAUCUCCCUUUGGUGGAAAAAUGCCAUUUUGUGGCUCUAAAAUUGAAAUAUCUUUUUCAACUCAUCGG